rnacentral:rRNA from 1 species
UACGGAGGGGGCAAGCGUUGUUCGGAAUUACUGGGCGUAAAGGGCUCGUAGGCGGCCAACUAAGUCAGACGUGAAAUCCCUCGGCUUAACCGGGGAACUGCAUCUGAUACUGGAUGGCUUGAGGUUGGGAGAGGGAUGCGGAAUUCCAGGUGUAGCGGUGAAAUGCGUAGAUAUCUGGAGGAACACCGGUGGCGAAGGCGGCAUCCUGGACCAAUUCUGACGCUGAGUGAGCGAAAGCCAGGGGAGCAAACGGG